GAAUAGCUCAGUCCAUAGAGCAUGAGACUCUUAAUCUCAGUGUUGUGGGUUCGAGCCCUAUGUUGGGCA